rnacentral:rRNA from 1 species
GACGUAGGAGACAAACGUUAUCCGGAGUUACUGGGCGUAAAGGGCGUGCAGGCGGUGAUCUGAGUCUGGCGUGAAAUAUCCCGGCUCAACCGGGAUAGGUCGUCGGAUACUGGGUGACUAGAGGACAGCAGAGGCGUGUGGAAUUCCGGGUGUAGUGGUGAAAUGCGUAGAGAUCCGGAGGAACACCAGUGGCGAAGGCGACACGCUGGGCUGUACCUGACGCUAAGACGCGACAGCAUGGGGAGCGAACGGG